ensembl:lncRNA
CUCCUUUCCUCGCGGCCGCCACACCGUUCCUACCUGAAAGAACAGCUGGCCAACCACGGUUCUUCGGCAGAAAAAUCCUCGAAAUGCACAAGCAUGAUGGAUAGAGAAGAAGGCUCAGGGAAAAGGAGCCAAAACCAUGCGACACAGUCCUUUUCCGCAGGCCCAUUCAAGUCAGAGGGUCAUGUAUCCAAGAAGCCACCUGCCUUUCCCCGAGGCCGUCUACACGGUCAGCCCUGGGAGUCCAGUGCAACUGAGAAGCUCCUAAUGCAGAAGUCUGGUUUUUAAUGACGGAUCCAACUGGAACUUGAACCAGACCCUAAAUAGCCAACAUGUCUGCAAGAAGAGGCUUUGAGCAGGUGCUUCUGAAAGACGGAUGGCUGCUACGGGCAGCUAUUCUCUUCUUCGAAAGCAUGACAUGACAGCUGCACAGCACACACGCAUGUUAGAAGACACGGGUGGAUACAUGGAUGGAUGGAUGGAUGGAUGGGCGGAUGCACGGACGGACAAACUACUACAGAGAUCAGGCAGAAGCCCUGCGAGGUACUCUCAGAGAGAGGAUGCGGACCACGCAAAGGUGGAGGUGCACGCUGAGAAUACAUGCUGCUCGACAAAUCUACAUGGAACACAGGAAGACAGCCAGAGAACCAUCAGUUUAGGUACGUGAGUGUAUGCGUAUGUGUGAGCGAUGUGUGAGUUCCGCAUUAGAAGCAAAAAGAAAAGAAACCCCACUGAACAAAACAGCUGCCCAAGCACCAGCUGCCAGAGGAAAAACUGUCGUGAGGGUUUUGGUUUCCACCUUCUAGCCACGGAAGCUGUGUCGGACGUUUCAAAGGGUUCAUCCCAUAUAACUGCACAUCACGUAGAGGAGUAACCUCUAAGGAACUACAUACAGACACUCACAUAUUCAAGUCUUUAAGCAACACCUCUGCCACUGGGCUGGGGGGACCACGUUUCAUGGACACGAGGAGGACGCCUCUUUUAAAAAAAGGUGGAAUAACACUGCUACGACUCAUCCAGCGGGCCGGACAGGGGCAAAGCCCGCGACUACGACUGUGUGACAGCACAGUUCCUGCAACUGGUGAACAUCCAGCCUUGUUUAUGAGAAUUGAAGGAAGGAGGGGAGGGCCCGGGGGGGUGGGGAGGAAGACACAGAAAGGAAAACAGAACACAACUUCUCUUCAAGUUGAAGUAUUAAUGCCAAUAAUCCUUUUAUUAACAGGUAUAUUUGAACUUUUAGAAAUGGAAGUGUCUUCAUCAAUUUUGAUAUGUAAUCAUCAACUGUAGGCUCCACCCUAGGUAAAUAAAGGUUUAAAUUUAGUAAGCAUAAGGCACUACAGCAGCCUUUAUAUUUUCUCUUGGAGACCUAGUUAUCAGGAAGAACAAGUUUGUUCUUCAGCUGGUUUCACCCCAUUAGGUACAAGAUUGCUAUUGUACCAAUGCCUAUUUUUUGAAUGCAUGUGCAUAUAUGUGCAUUUUAGUGCAUAAGUGUGCCUGUCACCAGGGCUGAAGAUGGAGAAUCGGGAAAGCCAAAGCCGCUGCCCUUCCUGCGAUGCUCCGUGAGGUGUGAAGGCCUGUCCUUCCUUUCUUGGGCCAUAGAUGCGUCUACAUUUUUCAAAUCACAGGGCUUUUAGAAUUGUUCGUAAUAUUAUCACUAAAUAUCUGCAAAUGUUAAAAUCUAGAUUAAUUGUUUCAUUUGUUUUAUAUAUAUAUACAUAUAUAUGUACAUAACACACAGUUUUAAAAAAUCCCACCACCAAAGCCUUUUUUCUGUAAACUAAACUCUUCUCUUAGCCCCCACCAGCUUUAGUCUCCCUGGAUUUGUGUGUUCUGUAUCCAACUAGUAGAACAAAUUAAAUAACUAAAUAU